AGCGAACGCUGGCGGCAGGCUUAACACAUGCAAGUCGAGCGCCCCGCCAGGGGAGCGGCAGACGGGAGAGUAACACGUGGGAACAUACCUUUUGGUUCGGAACAACUGAGGGAAACUUCAGCUAAUACCGGAUAAGCCCUUACGGGGAAAGAUUUAUCGCCGAAAGAUUGGCCCGCGUCUGAUUAGCUAGUUGGUGAGGUAACGGCUCACCAAGGCGACGAUCAGUAGCUGGUCUGAGAGGAUGAUCAGCCUCACUGGGACUGAGACACGGCCCAGACUCCUACGGGAGGCAGCAGUGGGGAAUAUUGGACAAUGGGGGCAACCCUGAUCCAGCCAUGCCGCGUGAGUGAUGAAGGCCUUAGGGUUGUAAAGCUCUUUUGCCCGGGAAGAUAAUGACGGCACCGGGAGAAUAAGCCCCGGCUAACUUCGUG
rnacentral:rRNA from 1 species